UGGGGAAUAUUGCACAAUGGGCGCAAGCCUGAUGCAGCCAAGCCGCGUGUAUGAAGAAGGCCUUCGGGUUGUAAAGUACUUUCAGCGGGGAGGAAGGUGUUGUGGUUAAUAACCACAGCAAUUGACGUUACCCGCAGAAGAAGCACCGGCUAACUCCGUGCCAGCAGCCGCGGUAAUACGGAGGGUGCAAGCGUUAAUCGGAAUUACUGGGCGUAAAGCGCACGCAGGCGGUCUGUCAAGUCGGAUGUGAAAUCCCCGGGCUCAACCUGGGAACUGCAUCCGAAACUGGCAGGCUUGAGUCUUGUAGAGGGGGGUAGAAUUCCAGGUGUAGCGGUGAAAUGCGUAGAGAUCUGGAGGAAUACCGGUGGCGAAGGCGGCCCCCUGGACAAAGACUGACGCUCAGGUGCGAAAGCGUGGGGAGCAAACA
rnacentral:rRNA from 1 species